rnacentral:rRNA from 1 species
AGCGAACGCUGGCGGCAGGCUUAACACAUGCAAGUCGAGCGGGCACUUUCGGGUGUCAGCGGCGGACGGGUGAGUAACGCGUGGGAACGUGCCCUCUGGUUCGGAAUAACUCAGGGAAACUUGAGCUAAUACCGGAUACGCCCUUUUGGGGAAAGGCUUGCUGCCGGAGGAUCGGCCCGCGUCUGAUUAGCUAGUUGGUGAGGUAACGGCUCACCAAGGCGACGAUCAGUAGCUGGUCUGAGAGGAUGAUCAGCCACACUGGGACUGAGACACGGCCCAGACUCCUACGGGAGGCAGCAGUGGGGAAUAUUGGACAAUGGGCGCAAGCCUGAUCCGGCCAUGCCGCGUGAGUGAUCAAGGCCUUAGGGUUGUAAAGCUCUUUUAUCCGGGACGAUAAUGACGGUACCGGAGGAAUAAGCCCCGGCUAACUUCGUG